AGCUAAAUGGAACCCAAGCAAAGAGAUAGAGUAUCCAGGACAAGUCCUUAGGUACGAAGACAACUUCGAUGCCACCAGCAAUCUCAAUGUCAUGGUCACUCCUACCGACAAGAAGUCCAUCACUGAUUACGGUUCUCCCGAAGAGUUCCUCUCUCAGGUCUUUGCUUUACUCCAUCAUCUAUAAACAUAUUGAUAAAUCAAAUACUCUAAUGAACUGUGAGACUGAAUGUUGAUUCGGUUUUGGGUUUAUGCAGGUUAAUUACCUCCUAGGGAAACAAGCUUACUUCGGCGAGACUGCCUCUGAGGUAAACUUCCAACUCUCUUUUGGUAAUGUAAACAUGAAGCUGAUAUAAUAGAAUAUGAGAAUCAAACACCCAAAACUCAAAAUUUCUCUCCCUUGUUGUCAACCCAUAGAACAAAUCCUUUGCCAACUGAUAACCUACAAAGAUCUCUCUAGUUUUGGAUAAAGUCUUACAGGCAAAGAUUUUAUCCUCUCUAACAAAGAGGGAUAUAUAAACUUCAAUUUUAUAACGUGACCAACAUUGUUACCUUAUGUGUAGUUAGACUAUCAGGUCCUAACUGUGUGUGUGAAUCUGAUGUUUCUUGCAGGGAGGCUUUGAC
rnacentral:lncRNA from 1 species